rnacentral:tRNA from 1 species
UCCAUGGUGGCUCAGAUGGUAAAGCAUCUGCCUGCAAUGCAGGAGACCCAGGUUUGAUCCCUGGGUUAGGAA